rnacentral:tRNA from 1 species
GGGCAGGUGGUGGAACGGAAUACACGCAUGGCUUAGGAUCAUGUGCCGCAAGGCGUGAGGGUUCAACUCCCUCCCUGCCCACCA